GAUUAAUUUCUUACUAAAAUAAGCCAAUUGCACCUUCACUUGUAAUAUAAAAAAAUGUAUGUUGAUGGUAGUUAUGUUGGUGGUGUAGAUGAAGGGGUAAUGAUGGUAGCGGUGGUGUUGUGGAGGUGAUGCGGUAGUGGUGGUAGUGGCGGUGGUAGUGAUAGUGAUGGUAGCAAGGGCUCCAACAACGUGUUGUAGGGAUGACCAUGCAGUGAUGGCAUGAUCGAGUUGGUUAUAGUAGUGAUAGUGAAGAUAGUGGAAGUGCUAAUAAUAUUACGAAGGUGGUAACAAUGACGGCCGAUAGUAUGGUAGUGAUGGUGGUAGAGUGGCAACAACGGUGUAACGAAAGUGGUGGUGGUUGAGAUUGUGGUGGUAGUGGUGAUAAAAAAAUAUGAAUUUCUUGUUUUUAAAAUUAUUAGUUAUAAAAAUUUUAUACAUUUAUUUUUUGAAAAAAUAAUAAAAGUGAUUUUAAAAAAAAGGAAAGUCAAAAAAGUAGUACCAAAUAUAUUUUUGUCUCAUUUUUUGUAUAUUUAAUUUUAAAAUAAAAAAUAAGAAGAACAAAAGCAAUGAUAAAU
rnacentral:lncRNA from 1 species